rnacentral:rRNA from 1 species
GCCGGAGGGAGGAGCGCCAUGGCCGGCUCCGAUCCCCUCCGUCCAGAUCCAGGGGUGGCCAUCGUGAUCAUGGGGGUUAGCGACUGCGGCAAAUCGACGGUGGCGGCGAUGCUCGCCGACGCGCUGGGCUGCGGCUUCGUCGAGGCGGACCACCACCACUCCCACGCCAACAAAGAGAAGAUGAGCAAGGGAGUACCGCUGACCGACGCGGACCGGGCGCCAUGGCUGGAGUCCCUACGCGAUGCUAUCAGGGAGCGGCUGGGCCGCGGCGAGGACGUCGCCGUCAGCUGCUCGGCGCUGAGGCUGAACUACAGGGAGGUCCUCCGAGAAGGAGAUCAGAACUACAAGCCAGGGAGCUACGGGACCUGCAGGGUGAAGUUCGUGUGCCUGGAGGCGUCGGCGGAGGUGAUCGCCGGGAGGGUGGAAAAGAGGGCGGCGGAAGGGGGCCACUUCAUGCCGGCGAGUCUGGUGCAGAGCCAGCUCGACCUGCUGGAGAUCGACACGGCCGAGGGGAUCACCGUCGUCGACGCCACGGUGCCCGCAUACGCCAUCGUCGAAGCCACCGUCGCGCAGUUCAGGGAGGAGCUGGCCUCAACGGCAUGC